rnacentral:rRNA from 1 species
UACGAGUUUGAUCAUGGCUCAGGAUGAACGCUAGCGGCAGGCUUAAUACAUGCAAGUCAAGGGGGUAGCAAUACUACCGGCGCACGGGUGAGUAACACGUACAUAACAUACCAUAUACUGGGGUAUAGCUUUGGGAAACUGAAGGUAAUCCCCCAUAACAUUGCGAGAGGGCAUCUGAUUGCAAUUAAAAGUUUCGACGGUAUAUGAUUGAUGUGCGUUUGAUUAGCUUGUUGGUAGGGUAACGGCCUACCAAGGCGACGAUCAAUAGCUGGCGUGAGAGCGCGACCAGCCACACUGGAACUGAGACACGGUCCAGACUCCUACGGGAGGCAGCAGUAGGGAAUAUUGGACAAUGGGCGAAAGCCUGAUCCAGCCAUGCCGCGUGAUAGAUGAAGGCCCUCUGGGUUGUAAAUAUCUUUUAUCUGGGAAGAAACAAUCUUAUUCUUAAGAUCUUGACGGUACCAGAGGAAUAAGCACCGGCUAACUCCGUG